rnacentral:lncRNA from 1 species
GGUAAUUAAGCUACAGUGAACCUCUACUAAUGAUGCCAUGUCACCUCGGUUACUGUCGAUAAACUCGCGUUAGUUUAAAACUGAUUCAAAUUUGAAUUUGAAUUAAAGUCAAACAAUAAAACAUUAAAGCUAAAAUGUUCUGGAUGUGACAAAUAAAUCAUAGGCACGUAUGGUUUUUUUUAUCGUGAACAGUAGGAAAGGCUCCUACUGUGUAGUUAUAUUAAUAAGAUAAAGGUAUCACUGUACAAAGUGGGGUAUUUACAUGGGGGAAAGGAGGGCUUAACCAGUUUGGGCCAAGCAGGGGGGAGGGGGACCAAGUACAAGAGUGAGGGUUUAGUGUAAGGAUCUAACAAAGUCUAGCACAAGAGGUUUAUGGGCCUCUUUGACCCUAUGUUGGAGGAUUUCAAAAUAUUUCUUGAAUCUAUCGAGCCAGGAACGGUAGGAGGGGACAAUCGCUCUGAAGUGUUUGUUAUUUCGUUCCUUCCAAAUACUCCACGCCACCACAAUGAAUUUUUCAAGAAACAUCGGCGUGGGGUGGUUGUUUUUUCUAAUCUAAAAGGGCUUGCAUCCGUCCCGAGAAAGGUUCCAAAUUUAUGUCUAGAGUUGCCCAACAUUGUCAACUGAAAGAGCAUGUGAAUAUCAUGUGCUCAACCAUUUCUUCAAUAUUCCUUCCACAGGGAAGGCAGUUGUGGUCGUCCUCGAUGUUGUAGUGACGUCUCUUGAGCAUAUUCCGGGUAUUGAGUCUGUCAUUGAACAGUAGCCAAGCAAAAAAUCUUCAGUUUCAUCGUGCACUUGGAUUUCCAGAGCCACCCAAAGAUCUGAUGGGAUUGGGUCUCUCUGAAGAAGAACUUGUAAUAAUAUGUGCAUUUGAAAAUGGUUUUGCCCCAAAUAUAGUGUCAGACAUCCGACGAGGCAGUCAUUGGUUGGAAGGCUGAUGCAAUCACUUGCAUGUCCCUGAUCUCAUCAUGUGCCUGGGGGGAUAGUGCUAGAUGGAAGGCCGCUUGCAGUGACGUGAUCCCCAAGAAAUCCUUUACGUGUAUGUCCUCGUUAGUUGCAUGUGAGAAGGCACGUGGGUGGGACUCCUGUAAUAAAUGAUCAGCCCAUAAAUCCUUCCAGAAGAGUGUCGUCGUGCCACAUACUAUGUUGACGCGAGAGACCCCUCGGAAAAUUAGGGUGAGUUUAAGCAUGUCCCGCCACCAGAAGGACCCCACUGGAUCCGUGGCGUGUGGAAUUUUCUGAGCAUAGUAAGUGUCCCAAGUAAGUUGCACCCAGGGGAUAUCCAACUUGUUACAGAAUUUGUGUAGAAACUUCAUGAGGAGGGCAUCAUUUUUGAUCUUUAGGUUUAUCACACCGAGUCCUCCAUUGUUUUGGGGUUUACAUACCAUAUCCCAAGCAGCUAAGGAGUUGCACUUGUCACCUUGGUCUGUCUUUUUGGUCCAGAGGCAUCUUCUUCUGAUUUUGUCAAGUAUUUCAAUGAGUUUCAGGGGAAACUUGAGCGUGCACAUUGCAUAUAUGAGUAAAGACAUGACUGUUGUGUUGAGUAAGGUGAGCUUCCCGGCGUCGGACAUAAGUGAGAGAGUGGAGGACAAGUUUCGUUCAACCGAGCUGACAAGUGGCAUGAAAUCUUGUAGCGUGGGGCGGGAGGUACCAAGGGGGAGGCCAAGAUAUGUAAAGGGCAUAUAGCCAAUUGAACAUCCAAAAAUCAUGGCAAUGUUGGUGGCCAGCUCCGAAUCCAAGUUGAUAGGGAUGAGUGUUGACUUGUGAAAGUUGAUUUUCAGUCCGAUGGACUUUGCAUAGUCAGACAGUAUGGUUUUGAUGAUUGUUGCUUGUCUAGGAUAGGCAGGCAAGAGUAGGAGUGUGUCGUCUGCAUAUUGGAUGAUUGGAUAGUCCAUGUGUCCAUUAGAUGGAAAAGGCAAUUCAAUUAGACCUCUUCUAUAGGCGUCAUUGAUGGCUGAUUGAAGAAGAUCUGCAGACAAAACAAAGAUUAGAGGGGAUAGUGGAUCGCCCUAUCGUCGGCGACAGUGAAAUUGUCGGCCCGGGACUCCAUUGAGCAGAAUAGAUGAUCGUCCAGAGGAAAAAAUAGAUUGAAUACACGAGAGCCAUUUGUCAUUGAAACCCAUGUGCUUCAUCAUAUUGAUCAUUGGAUCAUGUUCAAUUGUGUCAAAGGCUUUUGCAAAAUCCAAUUUUAAGAGGAUAAUUUUUCGUUCGGAGGCUUGGCAUUGAUGGAUGUAUUGAAAAGUCCAGGCAAUCUUGGAUGGAGCGCCCACAAAUGAAAUUGUACUGAUUACGAUGUAUGAUUCUUAGGAUAACCUUUUGUAGUCGGUUGGCAAGGAGCUUUGUAAUGAUUUUGAGGCAACAAUUAAGUAAUGUGAUCGACCAGUAAUCGUUUACCGUGGACGGGGACCCAAUCUUCGGGAUGAGGGUGAUUAAACCAUCAUUUAUGCUUUGGAUGUAAGGUCACCUGCAUGAAAUUGAGCACAAAGGGUAUAGAAGUCCUUUUUGAUAAUUGGCCAGCAAGCCUUGAGGAAUAGGCCACUGAAACCAUCUGGGCCUGGUGCGCGGUCAGCAGGCAUUUCCUUGACAACCGAGUCAAUUUCCUCAUUGGUAAAUGGCAACGUGAGGUGUUCUAGGUUCUCUGUCGGUCGGAUUAGUGAUGGUAGAUCAAACUUCAUCGUUGUGGGAUUGGAAGUGCCAAGUCUUUUAGUGUAAGCUUGGAAUAGAAGUGAUUCUUUGCCCGUAUGAUCUUCCACCAUCAGGCCAUCCGUAGUUUGAAGAGUAGUGAUGUUGUUUUUCCUGUAUCUUUCUGUUGCAGUAGCUUGGAAGAACUUGGUAUUCUCAUCUACAAAUUUAACCCAUCGUAUGGUGCACCUCUUUUUCCAAUAUUGUUUCUGAUAGUCCAACAGUCUGAGUAGAUGAUUUUUGAUGAUCUUGCAAAAGUGACAUUCAGGCAUUGUGAGAGUUUUGAGAUUCUCAAGCUCAUCCAGGUCAGUCAAGGUUUUGUUGGUAUUCUCAAUAGCCACCGAUAACUGAGAGAUAUUUUUGCUCCAUGCUUUUAAUUCUUGUCGUAAAAGUUUAAACUUGCGGCAAAGGAUCAUGGCAGCAUUUGUUGAGUUGAUAGGCCCAUACUUUUUUGACCAAGGCCAUAAAGCCAGGAUGAAGCAGCCAAUAUGACUCGAAUCUGAAAAGUUUGGCACGUGGAAUCUUUGUUUCAAUGUUUACCACACAUGGAGUAUGAUCCUAGACUGGUUUGCAAAGUGGUUUAACUAGCGUGUUGGGGUAUACGUGUGUCCAGUGGAGCGAGGUAAAGAACCAGUCCAGUUGCUCGAGUAAUGGGUCUUGUUGCAUGUUACUCCAGGUGUAGAGACAUCCCUUAAGUGGUUGAUCAAUUAAGUUAUGUUUGCGGAUGAUGUCAUUAAAAGUGGACAUGUCAUGAGGAUCCCCUCCAGGUUUAUUACGAUUGUCCGGGAUCCGAAUGUCAUUAAAAUCACCAAGGAGGAGACAAUCAUCAUCUGUUUGAAUGUCCAGAUCAUACAACCAUUGGGUGAAGUCAUCACGAGCAGGACCCGUGCAUGGGCCAUAAAUGUUAUAUAAAGUCCAGGUUUGAACAGAGAGUGUACUGGUGAAUUUGAUGCCCAAAACAAAAUCCUCAGAAACAGAAACCUCACAAGAAAAGACCGAACUAUUCCAAAUGAUGAGCAGGCCACCCGAGGCACCUCUCGACGGGACAUAAGCGAAUUUAUCAAACCGCUUGGGGCAAUAGGUUUUUAUAAAAGCAAGGUCGAUGCAAGGUUUCUUAGUUUCCUGCAGACAUAUGAUAGCACAACCACUAACAGAUAUAGCAUUAGACAAGGCUAAGAGUUUUUUUAUCGGAAUUUAAACCACGAAUAUUCCAACAUAGAACGUUCCAGCUGCACAAAGGAGGCAUAGGGCCGCCGCAAUUUAUUCAGAAGAGGAGGAUUCCUCCCCCGUGUUGAUAUCUUGAGCUUCAGAAGCUUCAGGGGCCAGCAAUGCUGCAAUAGUCAGUUCCUGAGGUGGGACAGCACAACGGUGGAUACCUAUAUCCUGCAUGAUGUAGAGCACCAUAUGCGGUGGUGCUUGGGCUGCAGCAGCUGAAGAGGAGCCUGGAACCGCAGAAGGGAUCUGCCGUGGCUGGACCUUGGAAGUAGUAGCUCGAGUAUCAGUCAAUUGAGGCACUCUGAAGCCAUCAUAGCGAGUGGAGCGGGUACUGCGGCACACUUCAGUGGUCAACAGAGGAACUUGGUAUUUUGAGCCACGUGAGCAAGCAGAUGAUGGGCCUGGAGCAGUGGGUAGCACCUGGGCCAAGCCCAUAUCAGAAGAUGCCUCCGAGGACUACGACAAAGUGUGACGCCCAAUGUUUGAAGAAGUAUUUGGCGUGAAAGCAUGCAUUUCCUCUUGCAUACUAGGAUUGUCCUCCUCACCCAGAAAAUCAAGGGGUGGCACCAUAUCAGAAUCAGCAGCAAGCUGAGGAGGAUCACUAUGAGAGUUCUCCAAACCAGGAACCUGAUUUAGAACAGGUUCUUCAGACAGAAGUUCAGUAAUUUGGACAGUAGAAGUCCUUGGUGUUUCAGACAGAAUGCGGGGGGAGAAGCACACCAUAAUCCCAACCUCUCUUCAUUGUCAACUUGGAAACUAGUAGUAGGAGUUGGCAUUUGCAUAUUCAGGGGAGGAAGACCAUAACCAGAGCUCCAUGGGCCAUAAGAAGCAACCACACUCAUAAUAGACCUUGAGAGGUAGGCAGUGAAGACGUUGCGGGGAAUCAGAUCACUGAGAAGCACAUGAGUCAGGUCAUUGCCUUGUAUAGAGAUGCUCACGUGUAAAGUAACAACCGACACUGCAACAUCCAUAGAUACAACUUCUUGCCUAGCCGAAAUGACGAGCAGAGUGGUAGCAGAGGGAUGAGGCGCCUGAGAGGAACCAUGAGUGUUGGCAGUUGAGCUGGAAUCCCAAGAAGAAUUGAGGCUGUUAGUCACAUUGUCUUCAGGUAAGAUACCAUCUUGGGACUAUCAGACCUUGAGCUGCUAGCCAGGACUGGAAAUUAACAAGGGCAGCCAGCAUUUGUGCAACUAGUGGUGCAGGCCAGGCAUCCCAUGAAGCAGGUUGAGGAUCAUCUUGGUGAGCAACACUGUGCGGGCCAUCGUUUCCAAUCCCGUUCUGAAUGAGCCAAUUCUGCAACUGUUGUUGAUACAGUUGUUCCGCCAUGAGCCCAUCACCGAACAUGGGAUGGGGGAUUCCAUUAGCCGGUGGCGGCCCUUCAUCCACCGGUGGCACUUCUGGGUCAUGAGCAUUCCAGUCAGCACCCCCCAAAAUAAACAAAGCAACAGUCCAGUAGGCUCGAUCUCCUCCUAACCGAUGAACCGCAAUACUCUUGGGGAUCAGACGCAUAUGAAUCACCCUGACUUUGAUCAACACCACUCUAUGAUCUAUGUUCGGAUUGUUCCACGAAACCAAUCUAUCAUAAUCAUCUACUGAGCGCUGAAGAUAGAAAUCAGUCUGAUAAUCAUCCGGAAAGCCAAUAUACAUCAACCAAACCUUAGGCCCAUAAGUGGUGUUGCGCAUGUUGAGGGCAGCAUUGUGUCUAACAAAUGAGAUUACCAUAUCUUCAUCGUCAAGUUGGAAAGUAGUGUUCACGGCAGUAUAUUUGAUGAAGGAGUUGGCAAAUGCAAACAUACUGAUGUCGAGGGGAUGAUCCGAAGCUUCUGUGCCGUGCAGCCCUGCUUCAUGAAGGAGGCCCUCAAUGGUGUCGCGGAGUCCCUCCCAGAGAUGCAGUGGCACAAAUCUGCUCACCUCAGCAAUGGCAAGGAAGCUGUUGUUCAGUGGGGGGUGGGGGUGGGAUUGACAACCAUGUCCGCGCAGAUCUUCCAUUCAGCUGGCCCAGGCUCGACAGACCAGCCCGGCGGUAGGAAGGGGAUGGGGUUCACCGAAUAGUUCGCCAUGGUGGUGAGAGUGGCGGAGUAGACGGUGUGGUCGGUGGAUGGUGCUGGAGGGGCUAGAGCAAAGGGCUCUGCUUCAUUGGGAAGCGGGGCAGGCUGGGGAAGGGAAUGCGAGUCAUCCGGAGUGGGGAGUGUUUUUGGUCGCCACUGCCAUCCUUGGGCCCAGCGACGCCGCCAACGGGAGGGAGCCAGAUGUCCAUAGUGACCACAGAUAUUGCAUCGGACGGCUGAGGCAGGGCGGCUGAUCGGUCCAAUGAGGGGGCAGGAGUGAGGCAUUAAAGGAGGUCUAUUGAUUUGCUGCCUGCCCCAGGCUGAUGUGACCGGAUUAUGAAGAUCAGUUGCCAUAAUACAAUUACUGAGGUUAGAAGGGCAUUUUCUGGUAGGGCAAUUAAUGCUUUUGUGUCUCGGAGCGGAGCAAUUUAAGCAAAUAAUCCGGGCUUGAUAGUUAUUUUUAUGAUGACCCCAUUGUAGACAUUUAGAGGAUAGAAUACCCCAGUAUUUUAUAAGAUCCGAAACUUCCUUUUCAGAAUGUCCCGCUUGUGACAAAUCAGCAACAUGAGAUUUGGAUAGUGAUGGCGGCCAAGAUGUGUGCGUCGGGGCAUACCUUAGUGCAGAGGUAAGGAAACAUUGAGGUAAUUGAGGAUAUGCCAUUAUUGUGGAAAAACAGAAAUUGCCAAUUGCAAUUGAAUGCUCAGAAUAUUCCAUUUGUUGUGAGGAGCAUUGAAUGUCCCCAUGCAUGGGAUCCAGACUGACUGUUCCUCCUGUCAGCGUAUGCAAACUCGAAUGAUGCGAGGAAGAACAUGAAGCUUCUUUGUGAUUCUUGUCAUGAAAAUCCAUGGAUGCGAGCGGAGUGAUAGUAAACUUAAUGAGCUCCCUGGAGGAGUCAUUAGCUGCAGCCGUAUCAUUGAAAAUUGACUUGUUGCACCGAAUGGCCACAGCGCUGCAGAUAGCAAUGGGCUCACGCCGUUCAUCCGCAUGCCAUUGAGUAUCAAAAUGCUUGUAUCCAUUGAAACGGCCAUUGAACAGAUGAAACUGACAAAUGAAAUCUGGCCAAAUGCGGUCCUUGAGGCCAUGAAUGAAAUGACCCACUUUGUUACCAGCCACUGAGAACCGAAAUGAUCUGUCACUGAGCUUUGAAACCUUCAAACCUUUCGGAUGUCCACCAAUGCAACAUUGCAAGGCCACACCCAUAGAAUCUUUAGAGAGAGGAAACGAGGCCGAAGAGAAAGAAACUACCAAGAAAAAUUCCUUGGUGUUGCGAGAUGGUGAGAAAUGAACCGUUCUCCAAACCUUCGACGUACCUGAUCUGCCACGGCCAGGCCAGGAUUGAAAUCCCAAUGGAGAAGGCCUUCCAUGGUGGAAAUUAUUGGCUAGAUUCAUGGCUGGUGGAAAGCAGGUGGGAGGAGGAGAGGGAGGUGGAGCCAUACUACUAGGCUUUCCCUAUAGGCACGUAUGGUGAAGAAACCACAUUUUAAUAAAAUGCCUAAAUGCUCUAAAAUAAACAAAACAACAGUAAAAACAAAUAAUUAAAUGUCUGUUAUAAAGUUAUAAAAAUAUAAGCUGAUAUUUGGAGUGCCAACCUUUUUGUGGCAGCACCUAAUAUUGCAAUACUAAUUAGGUGUCCAUCUCCACAAAUUAUAAAACUCAUUUGCUAAUUGGUUUAAGUGAAAAACAUAGACUCAAAAAAGUAAAAUAGAAAAGAAAUAAGAUAAACAGAAUGCACUACCGUGCACUUUUACCCAGUGUGAACAGUUGCUAGCCCAGCCCACCACCGCAUCAUCUCUUUCCCCUGUUCACCAGAGGCGUCGUGGACGUAGCACGCACGUCGACACCGCCGAUCUCCACGCAUCGUCCAUCCUGCAUGCUCCACACAUGGAUAAGACCACCCUAGGACCCUGAGGCGAAACCCUAGAUCGCCUCCCCUCCCUGCUCUCGCCCCGUUCCUUGCUCGAUGUCUUUGUCGUCACCGCCAUGGACCACACGCUCCCCGUCGUCUUCCAACCCCGUGAGCAUGUCCAAGCGCUCCGUCGUGCUCCUCCACGUCGGAUGCUCUCUCAAGAUCAAGCCAGGACGCCGUCGUGCUUUGGAAUCGACUACCUCUUCCUUCUUCGGUCAUCGGAGAUCCCUGCCGAACCCACAGCCAUCUACUGCUACUAAGCUUCUCGCCGAGCUCCUUGAGCUCAUUUGGUGAGCACCGCCGCUCCUGCCUCCCCUCCUGAGCUUCGUCUCCUCCUCUAGCUAGGUGGCCGCAACCGCCGGCUCUGCCGUCCGCCGUGAGCGAAGAACUGCUUGAUGCCGAGUAGCCCGAGCCCACUCCUGCUGCCUGUCAUGCUCUGGGAGCUCCCAGUAGUCCACCUAGCCGCUCGCUACGCUCGGAGACGAGCCGUAGCAGCAUGUUCGCGCGCUCCCGAACACCAGUCGCCGCCUCGCUCGCUGACACCGCCACCACCGGCUACCCCGCGCCCUCCCAUUGCCUCUGUUGGAUGCGCCUCACCGCCAGCUUGCCGUAGGGCCCUUCACCUCGCAUUUCCAAGCCCCGCAGCCCUCACGCCCUUCGCAACCACUGCACGUCCGCCUCUUUGCCCAACACCGUCCAACGCGCCUCCUCCUCUGUCGUUGCUGCUACGCGGCUGCUGCGCUGCCGCUCGACGCUAUCGUCCCUUGCUUCCGCUUGCCGCCCGCUACCGCUGCGACCCCAGGCCGCGCGCCGUCGCCGUGCCCUUACCCGCGUCCACGCCCGUUACCUAACUGCGCCCCGCACUCACCAUGCCCCGGCCGUCCUCUGCUCUCCCCAAGCGCGCCCGCGACCCGCUGGAUGAGCCCACGCUCACGCCCCUGUUCGCCGCGCAACGCCGACCGCGGCCAUCGCCCCCGGCUGCCUGCGCCCACCGCCGUCUCCGCCCCGCGCCACCUGGCCGCGUUCGCCAGGGCCGCCAUCGUCGUCCGGGGCCUCACCCACUCCCGUUGCGUCUGCCAUCCGCCGCGGCAGCCCUCUCCGCUAACCGUGCCGCCCUGCUCCGGCCGUCGAUUCCUGGCCGCGCGCUCGCUCCUUCGCCCACCGCCCUGCGGCGCCAUGUCGGGCUGGCGCUUGUUGCCCGAUCCGCCUAGCGCCUGUAACCCUUGGCCCACUAAGGCCCUGGGGCCUAUGACAAGGUGCCCCACCCCAGAACGAUUAGAAAAGAAAGGGAAAAAAGAAUUUAAAAAAUAAAUAAUAAUUGAAAUAUUAAUUAAUUAAUUAAUUAACUUAGUUCACCUUGAUUAGAUUAACCUAAUCACUAGUUAACUGAAUUAAACCCUGAUUAGCCUGAUCAGUGAGUGACAUGCGGACCCCACAUGUCGGUUUGACCCAGUCAACACCUCUGUUGACUGCUGAUGUCAUGCCAACGUCAUGCUAAUGUAGUAAUGCUGAUUUCGAAUUAAUUUAGUAAUAAUAAUUUAGAUAAUGAUUUAAAACUUUAAAAAUUAAUAUAAAAUAAUCCGUAACUCGGAUGAAAAUACUUUGUACAUGAAAGUUGCUCAACACGAUAAGACGAAUCCGGAUACGCAACCCGUUCGUCCGCCACACAUCCCUCGCAUAGCGAACACACAACUUUCCCCCUCCUGUUCAUCUAUCUGAAAACGCGAAACACCGGGGAUAGUUUCCCGGAUGUUUCCCCCCUUCGCCGGUAUCACCUCCUACUGCGUUAGGGCACACCUGGCACCGUUACUUGUCAUGUCAUGCAUCGAUAUGCAUCUGUUUGCAUUGUAUUCAUUGUUUCUUCCCCCUCUUCUCUCCGGUAGACUACGAGACUGACGCCGCUGCUGGUGCCCUGAUCAACUAUGUUGUUGACGACCCAUCCUUGCCGGACGAAGCAGGUAAGCCCCCCUUGAUCAACCCGAUAUCGCCUAUUCUUCUCUAUACUGCUUGCAUUAGAGUAGUGUAGCAUGUUACCGUUUUCGAUUAAUCCUAUUCUGUUGCAUAGCUUGUCAUUGUUGCUACAGUUGUUGAUACCUUACCUGCAAUCCUAAAUGCUUAGUAUAGGAUGCUAGCAUUCCAUCAGUGGCCCUACAUUCUUGUCCAUCUGCCAUGCUAUACUAUCGGGCCGUGAUCACUAGGGAGGUGGUUACGGGUAUAUACUAUAUAUCUUAUACAUGAUACAUGUGAUGACUAAAGACCGGUUGGUUCUUAGAGUACCCGCGAGUGAUUCACGAAUUGGGGGCUGGAAGGACCUUUGUCCCGACGGCCCUCUGGGUGGAUCUUUGUGGUGAGCGACAGGGCAGGUUGAGACCACCUAGGAGAGAGGUGGGCCUGGCCCUGGUCGGCAUCCGCGGAUACUUCAAUUAACAUGCUUAACGAGAUAUUGGUAUUUGAUCUGAGUCUGGCCACUGGCCUAUACGCACUAACCAACUACGCGGGAACAGUUAUGGGCACUCGACGUCGUGGUAUCAGCCGAAGCCUUAUUGACGACAACGACUGAGCGGCGCGCGCCGGGUUGGACCAUGUAACGCAACUUCCUUUGUAAUGGAGGUUGCUAGGUCCGCUCACUAGCCGCAUACGCAACAUGCAGGUGUGCAAUGGGCGAUGGGCCCAGACCCCUGCGCGCUUAGGAUUUAGACCGGCGUGCUGACCUCUUUGUUGUGCCUAGGUGAGUCUGUGACGUGUUGAUUUUCCGAGGCCGGGCAUAACCCAGGAAAGUGUGUCUGGCCAGAGGGAUCGAGCGUGUUGGGUAAUGUGGUGCACCCCUGCAGGGAAGUUUAUCUAUUCGAAUAGCCGUGUCCCUCGGUAAAAGGAUGACCCGGAGUUGUACCUCGACCUUAUACACUACAAAAAAUACACUUCCAUGAUGAUACGUGUUUGUCACAGUAGGUCGCUUUUAUUGUCAUGCAUGUACAUCCAUGACAAAUUUAUGACAGAAUCAAGAUAGUCAUACAUGUGCUGUCGUAGAAGUGUUCCAUGACAUUACCAAAAUUAUCAUCACGGAAGUGUCCAAUUCCAUGAGGAUAAAUCGCGCGUCACAGAAGUGCUUUUGUCAAGGGUGACCGACACGUGGCAUCCACCGUAACGGAAUGCCGUUAAGCUAUCGGGUCGGGUUUUGGAUCCGAUAACCCGUUAACAGCCCCGACCAAUGGGGAUUUUCCAUGUGUAAAAUCAUCAUUGGCUAGAGGAAACACGUGUCGGCUCAUCGUCGGGACAGAUGUCAUCCACUCACUGGACGGAAGGCGCCUAUGAUACGUCGACACGUGGCACGGCCCAACAAGUUUAAAUGGGCCGGCCCAACUAAAGGCCCACAAGAUUUUGCGGACCAUAAUGGGCCGGCCCAGCUAAAGGCCCAUGAGAUUUUGCGGACCAUAAUGGGCUGGCCCAGCUAAAGGCCCACAAGAUUUUGCGGGCCAUAAUGGGCCGGCCCAGGUAAAGGCCCACAAGAUUUUUGUGUGCCGUAAUGGGCCGGCCCAGGUAAGGCCCACAAGAUUCUUGUGGAUCAUAAUGGGCCGGCCUAGCUAAAGGCCCACGAGAUUUCGCCGACAUUAAUGGGCCGGCCCAGCUGUAGGCCCACAAGAUUUUGAUGACCCUAGUAGGCCGGCCCAUUAACUGCCUGCCAUGUUUUAGGCCAAAUGCCGGCCCAUAUUUGAUCCGGUCCAUUAUUUGCCUGCCACGCUCCGGGCCUAAUAGUGGCCCAUAUGAGAUCCGGCCCGUUAAAGGCCUACCACGUUCUGGGCCAAAUUACGGCCCAGAUCACGUCCGAUCCUUUAAGAGGCUUUGGGCUCAAUUAUGGCCCAUAUCAGAUUCGUCCCGUCAACUGGACACUAUGCUUUUGGGCCCACUUGCUAAAGGGCCACUUAGUAAUUCGGCCUGAUAUUAGUUUUGCCCUGUUAAGGCCCCGUUUAACAUUUCGGCCCUAUAUUAAUUUCAGCCUGUUAAAAGCCCGUCAUAUAGUUGGGCCUAACUACGGCCCGGUUUGCAUCUGGCCUGCUCGCAGCCGAUAUCUGAUUGGGCCAAACAAGGACCGAGACAAUUUUUUGGCCAGUUAAAAGCCCAUGAUUUGAUUCACACAAUCAUGGGUCGGGGUUCAUUUCGGGCUGCUGCCGGCCCGUGAGCUGUUCGACACGUUUUAGGCCCAACCUACAUCGUGAUUGCAUGACGGCCCGAUUAUGUACCGUAAUUUUACGGUUUGGCCGGUUUACUGCGAAGACAGGAUAUAUAUACAGUAAAAUAACUGCAACAUCGUGAAUAAGAAAAAACCUAGACUGUACAAUAAAGAAAUUACGGCAUAUUACAUCCACUGGGCAUCAAAGUUCGCCACUAUGAUAAUAAAGCAUAAGCAGACUACAGAUUACAUACACUGGGCAUCAAAGAUCGCCACCAGUGCAAAUAAACACACCGACAAAAUAAUAUACAAAACCGACAACACUUCAAUAGAGUUCAGGAAAGGUUAGCCCUGCUAGGGAGCUGCAGCGCAAGCAGCUGAGCAAGAUGAUGAGACUACGCUUGUUCAACACUUAUAUCUUCCUCACUCUGAAAGAUAAACAAGCAGACAGAUGACAUGUUUUGCACAUAAAAGUAUCAGUGCUGACAAUUCAUCACAUUUCUUACUGAUGAAUAAAGUGACACAGUUUAAAUUUGCAUUAACACAAUAUGGUAUUGUUCAGGUCAAGACAUGGCAGGAAAUGACAUUGUGAAGGAGUUGGCAGCUUCGCGACACCACUAGAUUACAGAUCAAGAACUCAUAAGUAUCAAUGGUUAGUGUGCUGUCAAUUUAUACCAUUCCAGAUUGGCAAAUAAAGAGACGAUUUAAAUAAUAGUAGAAUGAUAUGACAUUGUUCAUAGUUAAGACAUUGCAGAAUAUGACAUUGUGCUGUAGUGGGUAGGUUCACCAUACCACUGGAUUACGGAUGAAGAACAGAAGCAUACAUGCAGUGCAAAAGAAGAUCACUUGCUCUGUAUAGUUUAAUUUACAUGGUAUGAAGAAGGAACUUGGUUGUACAACUGAAAACUUAAAUUGAGAAAGGACAAACUUUUGUUUAUGAACUACAUAUAAUAAACUUUAAACAAGCAAUUUGAUGCAAACACCAAAAAUAAACAGCUGUUGCAGUCAUGCCUAACCAAAUAUAUACAACAAAGUUUGAAGGCUUGAGAUGGACAAACUUACAUUAUUGGUGAAGAUAGGCUCUAUAAAGGCCUUGUCCAUGCUGAUGGGGGGGGGGCAAUUCAAGAAGUUUACCAUAGAAUCUUCUUCAAAAGCAUUGCCUUUAUUCUACAUUUUGUUAAGAGUAAAUAUAGAUGUGAUAAUAUACGAAAAAAUGGAGAAUAUUUAAGAUAAGAUGAAGAGUGAUGCUACAUAACCAAGUAGCUAUAAAUGUAAGUUCAGCGAUACAGGCAAAAGGUACAACCAAGAGCAAUGCACAGCUAAACUUCUUCAGUACCAAACUUAUGGUAAGAGUAAAUAUAGAUCUGAUGUGUAGAAAAUGGAGGGCAAAGGAAAAUAAGCUGCAGAGUGAUGGUACAUGAACAACUACCUGUCAUUAUAAGUACACUGAUAAAUGACAACAUGUAUUUACAAGAACAAUGCAGAGCUAAAAAAUCAUUGGCAUUGGAUAUAUUCUACACUAAUGUAACCAUUCAUACAGAUCAGAUAAUUUGGAGCGAACAAUUGAUAAGCAAGCUAUCAUGCAACUGUUGUCACAUAAUGAACCAGGUAUGUAUGCAAGUACAGUGAUACAGGACAACAGGUACUAACAAGAGCAAAGCAGCGGGCAGCAUAUUUGCGAUAUCCUGUCGUUCUUGUCAAACCGGAAUUCUUCUUCGAGCUGAUUUCCUGCAAAAAUGAUCCGUAAGGCACAUGCGGAAAAGUAGAAGUUCAAAUUGUCAUGUGAUUUCAUAGACAGUACCUCAUCCUAGGAACGAGACCAGUGCAUAACAUGGUUUUUCCAUUCAAUGUCUUCUAAAUUUAGCACAGGAGACUUCACCGGGAAUUCGUUUAUAGACUUGCCAUCAAAGUGUGAUUUCCUCAGGUAACACCGAUACUGCUGCAAUGCUUCCUUGAAAAGCACAAGCAAGCUUUGCUCGUCAUGACUAUCCAGAUUGACCCUCGCCUUGUUACAACAAUGUAAUGUAAAUCAUUGAUGUGUUCAAUCAGCAUAAAACAAGAACAUAAUAACCAUGAAUAAUAGCACUUACACGCAAGUUGGACAGGAAGAUGUGAAAAUGGUGUUUGUCUUCACAAUAAUCUUCUCAUGAUGGGAAUAUAUGCACAUAGUCCCUAACAACAUUGAAAGCAUUGUCUUUUAAACUGGGAAUAAAUGGAAUGGGGUUCCAAUCUGCAGGAAUUGGCCGUCUCUGCAGUUGGGAUAGGUCUUCGGCCGGUGGACUUGCUGUACUUUUUGCUGGAGUGGGAUUUUUCUGUGGUAGAACUGGUGCUAUGGCAAAUGAAAUCGGUAUACCUUUUGCUGGAGUGUAGGCCCUCUGUGGUGGGGCUAGUGGUGUGGCCAGUGAAGUAUGGGUACAGUCUACUGGAGUCAGUCCUAUGUUCUGUGUCACUAGUUGUACAACCAAUAUAAGUGGGGUGUUGUCUGAUUUCUCCAGCACCACCACGUUUUUCAGGGACUUUGCUGGUGCUCCUUCAGGUUCGGAAAUCACCCUCUUCCUUUUUGAUGUCUGAUGCACAAGAACAUCAUUUGAGUGGAAAAACAUGGUAUGAUGACAGAUGGAAUAUGUAUUGAUAAUGUAUGGGCAUGGCAUCUCGACAUAUAUGAUGAGUAAACUAAGCAGAUGGCGGUGCAACAAAGUAGAAGAAAUGCAAGACACCAUAUGCAAGAUACGCGCAAUCAAUAAAACCUUGCCAAAUUAGAACAGGCACCUUGAUGGGUGAAAAGGACAGGCCAUCUGCCUUUGACUCCUCGAGGUUAGAAUAGUCAUUAGGAUGAUAUUCUGAACAAGAAUCAAUAGGUGGGGACCGUAUGAGUUUCAUUGCUUCCAGAAUGGCACUCAAUGCCUUGCUGCCAAUUUUGUAAGUUAUUGCAGUGUUCCACAAUAUUCUUCUGAUGCACGGAUUCUGAUAUUCACUGUAAUUGCGUAUAAUAUCUGAGAACCAUGAAAACAUAAAUAGUUGUGAGAUUAUCUUUGUAAUGCAGAUGAUAUUCUAAUAUAGGGGCACCCCUGUAAACACUUGUGUGCUAUCACUGGAUUCUGAUGAGAGAGCUCAUGUGUGCUGUAAUAUGGUGCGUGCAUUUAUAUAAUCUGGCACAAGUACACAAAAAAAUAGGCUCUAGAAGUAAGGAUAGCUGGCAGAUGAUAGGUUCAUAAUAUACUGUAUAGAGAGUUUAUUGCCAAACCAUGAUAACAAGAGCACACAUCAACUAGGCAGAUCAUAGUGUACAUAACAGGGGUACACCAUAACCAGGAUAUAUAAAUCGGGAAAGUGGAACUGGCUGGAUAUUACGGUGUUGUAUUGCCGCUAGUAAUUGAAAGCCUAUCGAUCACGUACAAGCCAGCUCUAUCAGCUGUUGACUGCAGAUGUCCCUGCUCCCCUUCCUGACAAGUAACAUAUUAUGCUUCCCAUACAGAACACCGCACGGGCCGCCGACCGAACCACCGGCCCCACCGCUUGUGUUCCUCCGCCACCCCCACCCCCGCCCCCACCCACGUCGAGUUUUCUUCGUUCGACGAGGCCCCACCACCGCCUCCCACAACCACCAUCCCCACCCGAGCCCCUUCGAUCGCACCGGCGAACUCCGGCGAGCUCUGAAAAAUCGACUGACCCAAUUUUGAAAUUUAGUGUACUGUGAUUUAACUAGUGUGGAAUAUAAAAGGGGAAAACCAUAAGCAUUGUGAGUAUGGUGUUGAGCGUGCCAUGGCGGAUCUGAAAGUGCAAACCGGACAAAGGCAACUUCGCAACCAAGACAAGAAAUCAGAGUAAAGCAGUGGCGAUCUAUUUUCUUGCUGCGAUAAAUAAGUUGAGCAAAUACGAAAGAGUACCGCCUCUGGUGCGGCGCCGUGUAUGCAUCUGCUGAGAAUUUGACGGUGUUGCGGUAGCGAUGGCUGUCGGCGGCGUGGAAGCAUAUGUAGGAGGGUAGACGGUGGCGGUGGGGCGCGAUGGACGAGACGGUCGUAGGAGCGGCGCCGGCAAGGUGGACGACGGCGGGGAUGAAGCGAGAGGACGGGAUGCAAGGAUCCCGGUCCGAAGCCGUGGAUGAGAGAGGUCGAUCUCUUGUAAUGGACGGCGGCGUCGGGGUAUCAGCUCCGGCAUGGUGGAGGAGGACGGCGGUGGAUGGGGUGGCGGACGGUGGCAGACGGAGGAGGGUGGGCUGGAGAGGAUGUUUUGGCGCCCAUGAAGUACGAAUGGGGAAAAGGGAGGUAGAGAGGAAGGGGGGAACCAUGUAUUCAGGGCGCGCUUGUCUCAAAUGCGAGGAAAUUUACAAACUUAGCCCCCAUUUCAAAUUUCUACUACAUCACAGCAACACUAGUCGGUUGGGGAUAGGACGGUAAUCUCGCAUACACCGAAUAUUUGCCGACGAGAGUUUGUUUUUGGCGCCCACCAUGUAUGAAUAUGAAUCCGGGAGGGAGUCGAUUUCGGCCGAGGACACACUGUGUUUUGGUGCCCACCGUGUAUGAAUCCGGGUGAGAGGCAGUUACGUCACGUUUGGGUGAAAUUACAAACAUAUCCCUACCGAAACCUAUAGAAAUCCAGCAUAUAGGCUUUGCGUGGCAGGGAUAGGUAGUAGUGAUUUCCAUCUCGCAGAUUUUGGUUUCGGGUGGUUACUGCGACUUUCCCCCCUUCGUUCAAAUUUUGCAGAGUGCACGUUUACCAUGCCAACUCAAUUCGAAUCCCGUUUGUAUUCUAUUUUUUCGGGCAGGAUCCAUUUUCAAUUGGAAUUACAUUCUAUAUACAUCAUUUUUUAUAUAUACUUUCAAAAGCACAACACCAUUUAUACAUAAAUAUGGUUUACAAAUGGCAUGAUCUCAGAUUCAUAAGGUUGUAUCCAUCAAUUUGGAUUUUCAAAUAUUUGAAACCACUUUAUGUUGAAAUCCAAUGUAUGCAUUUCUCGCUAACUGUCUCCAAUUAAUGUGUGUUUCAUGUGGGUUUUUUUACUUCUCAAACAUGUAUAAUGUGUUUCACACACGCAACAUAUAGUGUAAUCCCGUUUAGACAUUAAUUGCAUAUAAACCAUGCAUUGUUUGUAAUUGAAGAAUCUAUGGAUCACCAAUAUUGAUAAACUAUAUAACAUUACACGUGUGCCCAAAUUCAAAUGAAUAUGCAUGUUUGAUACACCAAUUUGCGUGAUGAUAUUAUCGAUGUCGUGAUCUCCAGUUUAAAUAUUUGAAUCCCCUUUAAUCCAGAUAUUCAUCUCAUAUAGCUAUCACUCAUGCUUAUAUAGGACUAUCUCUCUGGACCUAUACGCGUUCAUCGUCUCUCAGGUAUCUCUCGUGCUACCUGUAUGUCGACAAUGAUCUUUUAUCUUCGUAACACACUGACGGUACUCUCUCCCUCGACCUUCAUCACUCUAUCUCUCUCUAAGUAUAUCUCGCUCCCUGCUAUGUGUCUCUAACUAUGAUUCUCCAUGUGGAAUCUCUUUCUCUCACACAAACACAAAACUUUGUCUCCUGGGGUCUCAUUUCUCUCUACUAUUCCCAUGUGUGCCACUCGCACACCCCUCAUACAGAGAUGUCUUUCGCUCCUUAGAUAUGAGAACCUACGACUCUUCCUCUUCAAUAUCUCUUUCUCACACACAAACACAAACUCUGUCUCCCAGGGUCUCAUAUUUCUCCAUUGUUCUCUUGUAUGUCGCUCACACACACCCUCUCUCCCUAGAGAUAUCUUGCGUCCCCUCGUAUGUCUCUCUAGCUAUCACUCUCGUUGUGAAAUAUCUUUCUCUCUCGCAGACACAAAACUCCUUCUCUCUGGAUCUCAUUUCUCUCUGAUAUCUAUUUGUAUGUGACUCACACGCACCCUCUCUCUAUAUCUCUCACACCCACACACAUAACCCAGCCUUCUGAUCCACUCGACUCCUAUCUCUAACGCACACUAGCUAGCAUCUUUAUCUUUCUAUUUAUCUGUUUCUCCAUCAACCUUCUUUCUCGCCCUCACUCUUGAUUCCUAUCACGCACACUACAUAUGUUUCUCUCUACAUGCAGUCAAGUGCCCUCUCACACACAUAUAUAACUUCACCCUUUGAACCACCCGACGGUCAUCUCCAACACCCAAACUAGCAGAUGUCCCUCUAGCUAGCAUCUCCAUCUCUGUAUCUAUCUGUAGUUUCUCCGUCAACAUUUCUUUCUCGCACGGAGUCUUGCUUCCUAUCACCCACACUAUAUAUGUCUCUCCAUACAUAUGCAUUUAUAGGUUGGUCUCUUUUGCACAAUCGUUGCGCCUCACUCCCUCUGCUCGCCAUAGAUGCAUGCUCCAGCCCACGCCACUAUCUCUUAAAGACAAAAACACAUGCUCAAUUGUCGGGACUUCUUCCAUGCUUUCUCACAUGCAUGCAUAUUGUCAUACUGAUCCGUCUCUCCCAUGUCAUUGAUCUUAUGACUUAUGUCUUCUUUCUUUUAUCUCGAUCAUGCGCGCGCGCACACACACACAUCCCACGUAUACAUGUAUACCUCUCACACAUGCACGUUCAAGGUCUCUAUGUCUCCAUACGUAGUUAAUUACCCUCAAUCCUAACGCCACAUCGAAUCAUUCUCCUCUUUUGUGCACAUAACUUCCGCCUGGAUGGGUAAGACACACACUCACACUUAACAAUCUNNNNNNNNNNNNNNNNNNNNNNNNNNNNNNNNNNNNNNNNNNNNNNNNNNNNNNNNNNNNNNNNNNNNNNNNNNNNNNNNNNNNNNNNNNNNNNNNNNNNNNNNNNNNNNNNNNNNNNNNNNNNNNNNNNNNNNNNNNNNNNNNNNNNNNNNNNNNNNNNNNNNNNNNNNNNNNNNNNNNNNNNNNNNNNNNNNNNNNNNNNNNNNNNNNNNNNNNNNNNNNNNNNNNNNNNNNNNNNNNNNNNNNNNNNNNNNNNNNNNNNNNNNNNNNNNNNNNNNNNNNNNNNNNNNNNNNNNNNNNNNNNNNNNNNNNNNNNNNNNNNNNNNNNNNNNNNNNNNNNNNNNNNNNNNNNNNNNNNNNNNNNNNNNNNNNNNNNNNNNNNNNNNNNNNNNNNNNNNNNNNNNNNNNNNNNNNNUCUCUCACACACACACACAAACUAAGACUCCAUCUCUCUCUCCUCUCUCUCUCACUCACACACACACCCCACACACACACACACUAAGACUCCAUCUCACACACACAUGCUCUAGGCGGAGCAUUUGUUCCUACCACCCUUCAUCCAACCUUACCCGUAUGAUAAACAAUCACCUUUAUUUACUUGCAUAACAUGGACAAAUUCCACUUUACUUUAGUAGUCAGCAAACUUAUCAUCUGUACCCUUAUAAAAAACGAGUUGGUGGUGAUGGUGUGCCUGCCAUCUUGUAAUACAGACCAUAUGAUCUAUAUCUGAGGGUAGAAAGCAAACUAUGAUAAUUUUACAAAAGAUACCGGCACCUCUCUCCACAUCAUUAUCUCUCGCAACCUCAUUGCUCAGCAAUUAAAAAAGGAAUAAGUCUCUGGAACAAUCUAGCAUGCAUGGUAUCCACUGCCGCCUGCCGGCGCCGUCCAUCCCCAUGCCUCCGUUCCGACCACCAGUCACCACCAUGCUCCACUCCUCCUCGCCUUAUCUCUCAUCUUUCAUUUUUUUGAUGACAUUCUCGAGAUACCAGUUUUUCGAUAAAAUUCUUGAGAUAUCAUUAGUUUUUACACAUGGGAUUACUCCUGCAUGGGUCAAUCACAACAUGUGUUCUAUAAAAAAAUGCAUAUUGAUGUUUCGUGCAAUGCACGAGAAUCUUGCUUGUUAUUAUAUAAUGCAAAUCACGAGCAGGAAGUGACAUUUUUUUUGACACAACCACGUUAACAUGGCCACAUAAAUCACUAGCUAAAGUAAAUACCAUUAUACUUAUAUCCCGAUGCAAAAGGUUGAGUACAUGUCCGAAGAGUCGAGUCACACACAUGCACUCUGUCUCUCAGAAUCUCUCUCUCUCACACACCAGUUACGUGACGCCCAAUUAAGCAGACACGUAUGUUACAAUUUGUGCACCCACGGGUACACGUGAUGUUGCGCAUUUAUUUAAGCCGGAAGGUGAACCCAAAUAGUAGCUGCAUUCAUUCCCCUCCCGCCGCCUCUUCUCUGGUCGCCGUUGCCUGGUAGCCAUGGGCCGGCCGAAGGUAACAACAUAUGCCAUACUCCCGCCGGAGCGGCGCUUUAAUAUGGAAAUUUUAGUGGUCAUGCAUGCAUCUUUUUGUGCUAGCACUCCUAUAUAAGGGUUGACCAGUCGCUUCCUGCGGACGUGCGCGGGCGGUGGAAGAGGAAGGAGAAGGGAAGCGGGCUGUGGAAUAACGUUUUUUACCACAAUUUCUUAGGAAACCGAGUGCAAUAAUUGAGUAGUUUUGCAAACUACCAGUACUACACCUGAAACGGUUCAAAACCUAUACUCCCUUGCCAGCGCGCGCUUCCCGCGUGAAACGGUCAGCGUCGCCCUGGAGCGUCAGUGCCGCAUUAAUGCCCGGCCAGAGCGGAGGCGACCUCUCACUAGCGGCGGCUUUGAAGUGGCGCUACGGCCGAGAGAGCGCUGCUUUCCGGUGCAUGCGACUGCUCCGCGUCGAGACUGGCCAUAGGCCCUGUUUGGAUCCAUGGGUUAGAGUUAGUUUGAGCUAGUUGGGGCUCAAAUAGCCCUAAACUAUCCAAGCAUCAGGGUUUAAAUUGGAGCAAGUUGCACCGAACCCACCAAAAAAACUAUCCCACCCAAGAGGUGCUAACUGGAGAUAGUUCUCAUUGGGACCACUGAAAAAUCACUUUUCUCUCUCCAUGAAGUGCGUUUAUUGUCAAUCUAACCCUGUCACCCAAACAGCUCUUUGGCUACAGUUAGUUCAGGGUUAGUCAUGAGUUAGUCUAACCUCUAGCUAAGUUAGAGUAUCAAACAUGAGCAGUAUAGGACAUGCAAGUUGCUCAAAGCAUACAAGCAAAUUCGUACGUGAAAGGAUUUUUUCUUUUUGAAAACGAAACGUGAAAGGAUUUUUUUUAGAAUGCUCUUGGCAUGUCUCUAACAUGUGAUAGUUAACCGACCUCAAUAGACGGCAAAAACGCCAGCCCGCCGCACUUUGAUAGAGACGAGGAGGGAGAAGCGAUACAGGCUGCUGGAUUACUAGAGAUAGGUGUCACACGGAAGCCAAGAAGUAUGGUGAUAGCGUGGGUUAGCCAUGUACUAGUAUGAUACUACACUGGGCUGCCGUGUUUCGUACUCUUCCAGUCCACUGUGGAGAUGAUCGGUUAAUUUUAUAUCGUUGAAUAAUAUUAAAUAUUAUGAGUGCAGACGCUCCAUCACGAGGUUCCUUGCUCCUUCUCGGUCAUCCGAAAUCUAUGUUAUUCCACUCUAUUUUUUACGUGAGCUUUGUUCAUCCUUUUGCCAACACGCGAGACAUCUAGCAUCAAGGUGCACGUGUUAUGCAAGGAUCGUUCCAUCUAUAUGAAGAACACGUGGGACUGGAACUACGAGACGAACAUGUACCUAGGAGUGGAUGUACGAACCUGAGUAAUGUAGCACAGUAAGUGAAGUAGAAAGGCACAAAUGGUAUGAACAUGCGUGGCAUAUAGGGUGUGUUUGGUUGCAUUCUUGUCUCAGCAUAGUUGUUCCCUCUUCAUGCAUGCUCAACUCAACACCCCUCUUCAUGCAUGCUCUCUUCAUGCAUGCUUCUAGUCUAUUUGUGCUAAACUAGUGUGGGCUCAUGCACCCUCCAUACACUCUACCAAACACCCAAAAGUAGGUCGAGAAGGGAACUCUUGGGCGGCAUUUGUCUCUUACUACGUACUACCACUAAAUGUUGUACGUGCAAUGCACGGUGAUGUUAUGGAGUAUGUGCCUAAGUACUCUACUACUACUAUAUUAGUUGGAGGCACAUAUUAACUUUUAUAUUUGUUUACGUGUAUGUGCCUCGAGACCUUCCAACUAGACGUGUCUUUGUCUCCAGGUCGCACUUUGUAUCGUUCAUACUACUAAGUACUACUACGUGUGGUCUCCGACCCAGAAGUGGAAGAAGUGGAGAUCCUCUACCAUGCUAUUUUUUACGCUGGGCUCUACCACGCUGUUCAUGUCCCACUCCUUUCACUGACAUGUGGGACAUCCAGCACGUGCCGUGUUUGGCACCCUUCAUCGUAAGAGUUGAAACACUAGCAUUCAUCAGAAAUAAAAAAUAAUUAUAAAUCGGCAGUGAUACUAUUUUUUUGCGAACCAAUCAGCAGUGAUACUAUACCACGCGGUUUCCUUCCUCCUCAAUAUCGGAAAGAAUACUUCCGUUCGCCAACAUGUGGGACGUCGACCAUCCUGGUCCACUUGCCAUGCACGCAGAACUCCAACGGAGUCACCCAGGUCGCCGCGCCGCAGUAACAAUGACUAAUGAGCCGUCAAAUCACAGGCCCACUUCCCACUUUGAAGUUGCUUGGACGAAGGAACCAUCAUGACUUCGUUGAAUUCCGCUUCUUGAAGAAAACUACUGUACCAGCAGUACUGCUAGCUAUAGUAGUUACUCCAACAAAGGCCUCCUUUCGUUCAUAGGAUAGGAAUAUGAAAAUCAUAGGAAGUGAGAUGACAUGCAUCUCAAUUCCUAUAGAGAAAGAGAUGCCAUUUGAUGCUUAGGAUAGGAUUUUUUUCCAUUUAGUCUAGGCUAAUGUACUGGUAAUUUGCUCUAAAAACUAUAGUAGUAACUAGUAGUACUGGUACAUGCUCAUACUCACACACACACACACACUAACUACUAGUACUACUACUUCUCACAUGCUGGCCAGACGCCGUCGUUCUCCUUCCCGGCUUUGUCGGCGACACCCCACCGUGCUUGGAUCUUCGCCGACCUCUCCGCAGCAGCGCGUGCGUCCUUUUCUUUCUUGCGGCGACAUGCCUCUUAUUUCUUGAGUGCUUUCUGACUUUUCCACUCCCUCUGUGCGGCUUUGGUCGCCUCUUGCUCUACCGCCCAUUCGGCCUUGGCAUCUUCAAAUUCCUCCCACAUAGUUGUGAGGUCGCGAGCGGUGAUGAACUCGGCACGGCGGGAUGCCAUCGCUUCCCUACCAUUUUGUGUGCGGUCGUGGGCGGUGAGGAACUCGGCGCAGCGGGAUGCCAUCGCUGUCUUACCGGUUAGUGUGCGGCGCGGUGGCAUGAACGACGCUUGGUGAGAGCUCUGGGGUGGAGUGGCCGGACAACCGUAUAGUGCAUUGGUUUGUCAAGAGCUCAAGGACAGAAGACGAAGAAAAUUUGGAUUCCCCUUCAAUCCUGGUCAUUUAUUACCGAGUAAAAUGCAUUGGCGGUCAUCGAACUUGUCUUGAUAGCUCACUUUGGUCAUUGUAUACGAGAUAUGGUGAUUAUACGGUCACUGGCUCAGCAUAUAGCUCCGUAUUUGUCUGGUUGACCAGUCAAACAGUCCGCAUGCGCCUCAUCAGCUCGUGUUCUUUAUCUAUCUACGCAGGCCUACCUGUCAAUGGAGAAAGAAAUACUGUAAAAAUCAAAAUUAUGCUAGAGUCCGGACCGCUUUCGGAGCCCGCUCUCACCGCCCUGGCCCCUCAAGACGCCACCUGCCCGCCGCAUGCAUGCAUAGCAAGUAGUACUCCUUUUGUGGAGGAGAGAGAGGCAUUGACAAAGUCAAGGAGUGGGCUCUGCAAGAGCCCGUCUCUACACAUGCUCCUAGGUAUAGAAAAAAUAAUUCUAAAAAAGGCAUAAAAACAAUUGUGUGUUAAAAAAAGAAAGGUAAAAAACAUUUGAGAGGAAAUAGAUAAAGGAAAGUGAGAAAAAGUUGUAACCUGGGCAUUACAUGAGGAAGGAGGGAGUGGUGCACAUGCCAAGUUCACUGGGCUGCCGUGUUUCACACUCCUCCGUCGUAACAGUGGAGACAAUAGCUUUCAUCAAAAAUAAACAAUGAAUACUCGUUGCUCGUCCUCUAUAUCAGAAAGAAUACUUUCAUUCGCUGACAUGUGGGACGUCGACCAUCCUAGUCCACCUGCCAUGCACAAAAUUAUCCUGGUCUACCCCGGUCGUAUCGCAGUCCCAACCUUUCCCACUGUAAGUUGUUCGGACGAAGGAACCAUCAUGACUUCGUUGAAUUCCGCUUCUUCAAGAAAACUUACUAUACCCGCAAUACUGCUACCACACGCGAAGACUGGACGGCACUAUACCACGUCAUAUCACUGAAACCCACUAGGGCAAACUAGCCCGCCUAGGUCAUCUAUUUUGGAAUGGAGGGAGUACGUCUAUGCACUGCUAUGAUUUUGUGUUGCACGUCAUAUCACUGAAACCCACUAGGCCAAACUAGCCCGCCUAGGUCAUCGAUCACUAAACCUACAAUUUUAGGAGCUAGGGCUAUUGGUCGAUCGACGAGGGAUUAGUAUAAGCAUACCACGAGCUCAUCAGCCCCAAGGUUUCUCUUCGGUGAGUGUUUUGCAAGUAUUAUAGCUUGCACAGUAGCUAGCCUACUAACACCAAGAAUCAUCAAACAAGCCCCGUUGAUAUGAUAAACAGUUCAAACUUACAUCUAAUAAUGCCAUAUAUUACAUAAAAAGCUAGUGAGGAUACAUCUGUUUCCAUAACUCAGAGAGGGUUCGCAUGAUUCACUAUCAAACAAAAGUAGCAAGAUCCACCCACACAAGACAGUGCACUAGCCCUAAGAUGUUUUGAUAACACGCAUCGUUCUGGUAAUUAAACACAGGGCAAUGCAAACUACCCUGAAGGAUUAGCGCGACCAACUAUUUCUUAUCAUCGAUCUCUUGGGCAAUGACCACAGCACGGACAGCGGCAUGGGAAUCGAUUUCUGGGGCAAUGUCCGAAGGACUGACCGCGACAUUGGAAUUGAUCUCUAGGGCGAUGUCCAUAGGAUGGACAGCGGCAUCGGAAUUGAUCUCCGGGGCGAUGCCAACAGGACGGGCCACGACAUCGGAAUCAUCAAGGACGUCCACCGGCACCUACACAACCCUAACAUAUUAGCAAGCACAUUGAAAAUAAUCAAAAACCACAACUAUGGUAAUAAGCCAUUAUUUUUUACCUUGUGUAGCUCACCGGGGGAUCUCACCCUCCAGGGGCCAUCUCCUCGUCCUCGAUGGGGGCCAUCACCUUGCCAGGGGAAUACUGCUUCUCAACGGUGACUAUCUCCUCAAACUUGGUCUUGAGCCUCACAUAGGUGGCAAUCAGAGUUCCUGGGGUAGGCACAAUGGGACCCUUGCUGUUCUUCCAACUUCCUUUGAGGAGUUCGUCCGCCAACAUCCUCAACUCUUUGGCCAAUGCUUGUUUCUUGGAGUUCUUCGUCUCCAUGGGUUGGCCCGCCAACAUGGUCAACUCGUUGGUCAGUGCUCGCUUCCUGGAGAUCGCUGUCUUCAGUGGGUUGUCCGCCGGCAACUCUUUGCCUAGUGCUCCAGGAUCCAUCAAUGAACUGACAAACAAAAAGCAAUCGAAAGGAAACCACAAUCGCAAUGAAAACAGGAAAAGAAUAGGAUGUGAGAAUCGGUCGGUGCUUCACAAAAAGAAGAUUCUUGGAAUGAAAAUAUAGCAGCAUAACUAAUUCGCCCACCUUUCCUUCGUCGAUACAGAAGAAAAAUGGCAGAAGUGAGUUGCCUGGAGUGAGGUUUUCUUCAAGAAAGGGAAGAAAGGGCUUGAACGAGCGUUCCAGUGAAAUGAUGGUUGCUUCGUCCGGUCCAACUUGGAGGCCACCUUACCACUGCUGGUAAAGGUGUGGGUUUUGUGAUAUGACAUGUCAUGACGGCCACACCGAGGUUACAGGUGAGUCUCGACUAUAGCACCUCACUAUGAUUUGGUGGAUGGCACGCGGGCCCGGAUGCUUUGAAAUGUCCCGCAUGUAGAUAGAGCGGCUAGUCAUAUAGGAGUGCUCAAUAUUGUGCACCGCGACCAAGGUGGAGAGGAAAACGAGAGAACUACGUAAUUAAUGCAUGAGUUUAAUUAGGGUAGUUUUGUAAAGUACGAGAUACAUUCCUCCAAUCGCAAAAUGCCUUGGUUCAUGAGAUUUGAGAUUUGAGCCCUAUAAACCGGAAGGGAGGGAGUACUACACACGGUGUAGUCUAGUCACUUGUUGAAAUCUCUAGAAAGGCAAAUACUCCUUUCCGGUUUACAGGGCUAUACUACUCCCUCCGUCUAGGUGUGUAAGUCAUCUUACGAAAACCAAAUAGUCCCAAAACACUUAGGCGCGGUGCAUUAACUUCUACCUUGUUUCUUGUUUCUUGACAUAUCAACCAAUAAGAGAUGAGAGGUGUGCAUGCUUUUAAUGACUUGCAAUGGCUAGUUUAUUGCAUGCAAUGCUAUUAAUUAGCAAAUAAACAUUGGUGACCCCAGGAGGAAACGGUGCUAAGCGCGUGGACCUAUGCAGAAUGAGUAUCAACCAAUGGAUAAUGGAGUUUAAUUGUUAAACAAUAGCAAUUUUGUCUGAUGCAAGAGUCUGGCUAGUACUCCAAGGAACUGCACCGCGCGAGCGUUCGCAACUACCACGUUCGAGUUGCGCUUGGCUCUUCGCCUCUUCAAGAAGACGAACAAUAAUGAUGUUACUCCUACUUCUACAGUAUCGAAUUCACUGCUGCAUGUCCGUCCACCUCGUGCGGGAGGGAUAGCGAAAGCUUCAACUUACUGCUCCUGCCUUUGCGUCCAUGACAGGUGGGCCCAACAGGUGGUUGGCCCUCCUGUCAUGCAACCAAAGGCAAGUGCAGUUAAGGCAUCGGUGCUUAGUCCGCGAGGGAGAGGGUGUUGUAGUAAUCAAAUUUCUUGGUCUUAUACGAGUUGACGAAGAUAGGGGUUGCUUGCUUGCUAGGGUUGCUCACUACGUAUAUAUAGGCCGGAGCCUCCGCGCUUGCUUGUUAGGGUUGCUCUAUUCACACACUCUCAUCCUCUCCAGAUUUAAACAAGAUAUGGGUAGUAACACUAUCUUUCUCCCUUCAAAAAACACUGGCUUUCUAUCCUCACCGCUGGUUACAGAUCCGGACGUAUCCCCCUCCGCCGGUGAAGGGGAGGAGGGGCAGCGUUUAGGCCGUCGUCGACUAUGAGGGAGGAGACCCACUGCCGGCCGCACCGUUAUCUCUGGCCGAGCGCCGGCGCGGGAGGUCCUCCGAUCCCUUCGUCGUUGCCUGUGGGCAGAUGCGGCCUCCCGCCGCCCACCUAUCCACAUCCUGACGACCUUCAGGUAUAUCUUCAUUCAAAACCGCCUUAGCUCUACUUACCUAGCUCGCAACGUCGCGUCAUGUGCAUCAUUUUCUACCUCUCAGCCCCUCUCGAUCGGAUGGUCCAACGUCACAUAUUUUUUUCUUCUAUUGUUAGAGGUAAAGCUACUGCAUGGAGUCUAAUCUUGUACUCCCUCCGUCCGAAAUUACUUGUCAAUGAAAUGGAUGUAUCUAGAUGUAUUUUAGUUCUAGACACAUCCAUUUUGAUGACAAGUAAUUCCGGACAGAGGGAGUACUUGGUUCAAACAAGAAAUAAAGUGGGGGUGGGGGAAUUUAGUAUGUACAUCGGACUUGGUACAAACAGGAAGGAAAGGGGGUGAAAGUAGUACAGACUGGUCAUCCAACCGGUCUCUUGGUCGAAAAGGGAAAUAUAGGGGUAACGCUGUACACAGUGAUAUGACGAGGACUAGAUUUGCUAUCCACACAUAGGAGUAGGUGGCUAGAGUGAACCAAAAUGGGACCAACCCAGAUAUGUUUCUUGGAUGUUUGUUUCUCGGGGCAACAAACUAUGAAUCACCACUUUAUGCCCCUGUUUACGUACAUGCUGCUGGACUGCUGGUGCACCCACUGUUAUAAGCCAUGACAAGUUUAGCCAAAUGUUUUUGCCUGUAAUUGUUUCAGACUCUGACUGUUUCCUCUGUGCCUUUUUUGUGCAAACAUGGAUAUCCAAUUCACCUGGUUGCUGUUGUGACCUUUUGGUGCACUGCACAAAACUCUUCUUAAAAGAAGUGACUUUUGUGCUGUUUAACUGGAAUGUCAGAAUGGAACAGUUGGUUCAUUUUGGUGGAACUGCACAAGGAGAUAUGUGUUCCAAUCCUCAUCAUCCAUAUUGGCGCCAUAAACUUCCUUUAGGUAAGAAUGAUAUUUAAUGCAUGUGUUCAUCUCUAUUUUCUGACUGCCAUGAGAAAAUAAUGCUGUUUUUUACUAGUACACUUGUACUCCCUCACUGACAAAACCAAUUCUGAAUUAGAAGGCCAAUCAUGUACUUGGUUUCACCAACUGGUGAGGAGAAAGAGAAACAGAGCAUGAAGAGGAAGAAGAAGAAUAAACAGUGCCAAGGCGAUCUUGCUGAAGCCAGAGGCCUCAGUCGAGGCCAUUCAAGGGCUCCGGCAACGACUACCUUACAUGUGAGAUGAUCCUCUAGGGAGCCCUUCCACUUCUGCUGUCUCACUUAAUUAAUUAGGAGUACUUAAGUACCACUAAUUUAUUACUGCCUAAUUUUUCCUAUUGGAGUUAAACAAAUCUUUAGUAAGACCCUAUGCUGAAUCAUGUACGUGUGUAUGUUUGUCUAUGGAGGUGAAUCAUGUGGUGGAGCAGGGAGGGAAUAUUAUUAGUGUCAUGACAUAAUAGUGCUAUUGUUUUGCAUGUCAAUUUAUUGCCAUUGGUUCAAUGAGGCAAUGUUUUGCGUAUUGUCCAUCAUGAAUUUGAUGCUACUGGUUGAGUAAUAUGCUAAUGUCUUCCUAUCCUUUCUCACUAAGCUAAUGAAGGUUUCACCUUGUUCCUACUUGUGCAAAUAGGGAUCAUGUUGUGCCAAUCAUACAUUAAAUGGAACUACACAAGACAAUACAAUGAAUUGUAUCCUAGCGAGUGCUUUAACUCUGCUGGAAGUUCUUGAUAAUCUUUCGAUAUAAUCUCAGCACUGGUAAACAAGAGUGAUUUCAACCAUACAUUUGAAGUGCACAAAAAUAUAUACUAUUGUGUGAUUCCAGUGAGUGCCUUAUCAUCUCUUAUGGGACUACAUGAAUAAGCUUUUUUUCUCAGGUUGGUACGGGCCUAAGGCCUUCAUCCAUAUUACUUUGUUGUCAUCUCUAUUUGUAUCGUGCUACUGUCAUGAGAAACUCCUUUAUCUUUGCACGUUAAAGUUUUGCAACCUAUGAUAAAUGGCAAUGCUUUGAGUGUUGAGUUGAGCUAAUUGGCACUGAUUAAAUAAACUAAUACCUCUCUUUAAGCAAGACUACUAUGUUGCCAACUUUACCCAUUAAGAUAAUGAGGGUGCUUCUAUUUGUUAGUGUAUGUUUCAUAAACUAGUCACUAUCACAGUAAUCUCACUCUCUCAAUAUAUGUGCCAACAGGGAUGCUCGAUUUUGGUGGAACUGCACAAAAACUUUGGGUGCUUCAUUGCCUCGACAGCUUUCGUCCUUUCCUGUCAGUUGCUAAACUCCGCAUGCUUUCUUCCUUUGCUGUCAGUCGCUUGGCUUAUCUCGGCUUCCAGUCAAAGGAAAUAGUAAUUGAUAUGCUACCUCACACAGGUUGGUACUGGUCUUUAUCCUGAUUAUUGUGCCUUUCAUAUGUAUUGGUAAUUUGGUAUUGUGCUACUAUUUGCCGAUUUCAUAAAGGAGUAAUUUGGAGCCUGAACUCGUAGGCAGAUCAUUACAUCGGGUGAUUUCAGUAGAACUGCACAAAAUGAUCAGAUGGAUAGGUACUUAUGUUGCUGCUAUGUACUCCAAAGUUCACUCAAACAAGCAUCAAUGUUGACAAGAAGUGCCUAUAUUCAUUCGAGUAUCAACCGGCAUCAACCAAUUGUCAAACUCCAAGUGUUAGGAGAGUGAACACCAAAGAUAUUGCUUGGUGCAUAGCCCAGAAAAACGCAGUCCAGUCUUUGGUCCCAACUUGUGCCUUUUGGUUAUCGGCACAUAUGGUAGCGAACUAUAUGGCAUGGAGUCUAAAGACAAGUUGGUUGACGCGUAUAUUCAUUUGGCACUUAAUCAGUUUGCACGCCAAGGAUGCUCCAUUUCAGUUGAACUGCACAAAAAAUUUGGGUGGUUCAUUUUCUCAACCGCCUCCUUUCUCGUCUUCAAUGUAGAGUUUUGGCGAGAUACAGGACCAAGAUGACCCAGUAAACUGGUUGGAUGAAAGUAGUGGCCAAGUUGCUCAAACCUCCCUCCGCACGAGGCCACUAUUUGAGGAUAAACCUACAAGCAAAGUUCAGAUUGUCUAUGCCGCCUCUUAUGUACUCGAAAGUUUACUCGUACAAGAACUAAUUUUAGCAAGAAGUACCUCUGAUUGAACACCAUUUACCAGUCUGUACCCUAGGUAAUUAAAGUUCGUCCAUGGAUCAUAUUGGCUGUGAUCUCAAUCAUUUGGAUGCAUAAACAUACUGAACAUGUGUAUAUCUGAAUCUUUUUGUAAAUUAUGUAUGAAUAUUGUCGUGUGAUCUAUCAAUCAUUUGGAUGCAUAGAUAUGCUGAGCUUGUGUAUAUAUGAAUCUUUUGAGUUGUUGAUGUGAAUGCUGGCUAUGGAUAUGAACGUGUCCUGUGAACCUGAUUUUGAUAUGAAUGUUUACCUUUUCUGUUGUAUUUGUGUGUGAACUUGUUAGUAUGCCUACUAUGGGGUAUAAAAUGCAGGUCUCUUAUAAAAGUAAUGCUGUGUCCAAUUUAUGUUUUCCCUUCUAACCACAUUAUAUAUAUUUAUAUUAUUACUAUUAUCGUAUAUUUUAUAGAGACUUAUAUAUACAUUAUAAAAACAUCCCAACUUAUAAAAGUAAAUGUUUAACGGAAGUUGGCAAGGAAAAUCGUGGUUGUUUUUGACUCACAGGCAAGGAAAAUCCUGGUGAUUGCGUACAAAAGCUCGCGAAGAUUUGAAGGACCAAUUUAAUAAUAAUGCGCUCAUUUUUAUUUUGAGCAAUAACUCGCUAAUUUCUUAAUUAUAUAUAUAAUGUGCAUCUCCGGUUUAUUUUUUGAUAUUAAUUGCUCCUUCUAACAUAACAUUAUACUCCCUCCAUCCGAAAAUACUUGUCAUCAAAAUGGACAAAAAGGGAUGUAUCUAAAACUAAAAUACAUCUAGAUACAUCCCUUUUAUCCAUUUUGAUGACAAGUAUUUCCGGACGGAGGGAGUAUAUAUAACGAUCCCACCUAAUACGUGUAUUUCAAGGAAGUGCAAAUGUGCUGGGAUUUCUUAGAAAAUAUAAAUGGGCCUAAUUGACGCGAAAUUAUUUGUUCACCCAGCCCAGCAAAUGGAUUGUACAUUCUAGAAAACAUGGGUUAAAUAUAUGCCGCAUUUUUGCAGGCUGACAUGUGGGCCAAUAGGUCGAAGCCUACGCAGGGCGUUGUCAACUUGGUCAACAAAUGAUUGUGUCAUCCACAGCCAUUGGAUUUAUAUCCAACGGCCGUCAUGCACCUUCAAUCUCUCGUCUUCUUCCUCCAGCAUCGCCGGGACCGCCUGGUCCGGCCUCCGGCGGCUAGCGGCUCUGCUUAGCACGCAUCGCUGCGGAGCGCUACCCCACCACCGGCCAGGCUAUCCCUCCACCCCUCGACACCUCCUGUUAUUCUCCACAGACUACAGACCCACGCUGCAACAGAACCAGUUAUAACCCUUCUCCUCCUCUCAAUCUGUGACUCCACUGCCGCGUUUUCCCAUCUUCGAGUCGUUCCCGUCCGGGGCCUCGCCGUCGUCCACCGCCUCGCUGCGUUCGGUGCGGCGUGGUCAACAAACGAGAGUCAUCGGAAGAGGACUUUACGUGGAGAGCCUGACGGCUGGGACCCACGAGGUCCAUGGUCCAUGGUCGCACCGCGGCUGUGCUGCUGCGCACCCGAACCAGUGAAGUUUCCCACUCCUCUCCAUCUGCGACUCCACUGCAGCUUAAUAAAUAGUAACGUCUUCAGUUUUAGCCCGGUUUUCCGUAUAUUAACCAGGCAAUUCUCUUCUUCUUAAUUAAUCGACGAGGCAAUUCUUUUGCCUCCGUUUCGAAAAAAAUAAAUAGUAACGUCUAACUGAGCCAGUUAGUUAGAUGCGUACACUUGGUGUAGUAGGAUCUUUAUUUAGUUUGAUGCAUACACUUGUUCUUUUUUGGUAGCCCUUUUGUAAUGAUGGCUGAUGUUUGGUCUGGAAGAGAGAGCUGUGUCUUCACUCUUCUGGCCUGUUUACUGCUUCUGUUGCACCCCCAGCCCUGGUUGCUGCUGCUGCUGUUUUCAAUGUACAAUCAGUAGUGUAUUUUGUUUGUUGGUUGAAUAAAUGUGUUGUUAGAACGACAAACACAAUGUUUUGGAAGUCGUUGCACGGUUCGAUCCUUUAGUGCCCCGUACCGUACGUAGUGCAUACUAUUUAUCGUACGGAACACAUUUUUUUAAAACUCGGAACACAUUUUCCACUUGUUGAUAACAUGCAGCCCACUGAUGAAGGCCCAAUAGAGAAGCCCAUAAUUAACUGGAAGGGAGGCUCUCACAUGAAUCCGGCCCAGGUACAUGCUCAUGGUCCCCUAAACAUAAAUAAGUAAAUAAAUAAAGCUAAAUGCUCAUGCACCAGUUCUUUGGGAAAAUAGGUAGCCCAGUAUUUCUUUUUGAAGAAUACCCAAGCUAGGCCUAUUUGUUUUCUCCGAAUUACUGGGCUGCAAAUCUUUCAAGACGAGGAGGGAUGCAUUCCGGCCUGGCUUAAGAGUAUGGUCAAUGUCUGUUAAAAGUAAUAUCAAAAGGGGUUGAAAAUUCCAAAAAAAUUAUAGCAAAUGGGAUAUAAGUUUCUUUUUUUGUUUUUGUUCUUCACUGAUAUCUUAUACGUAUUUCAUUAGAUUUAACAUGACAUAGUACUAAUUUAUUUUUAAAUUUGUUUUAGUAUGGCUAUUAAUUUUUGGAUUAAGAAUAUUUAGUCCCCCAGCAAAAAUUUGCGAAUUUUCAAAAUUUCCCACAUAUUUAGUUAAUUUUUUGACCCUGGUACUGACCAGAAAAUGGCCAGCAAUUCUAAAAAUGGAAAACGGGCUGCAAUAAAUUUCAUAUGAAUUAGAAAAUGAGUAAAAAUUAUAAAAAUAAUAGCAAAUGGGCAGUACACGCCACAUAUUUCGAGGUUGACUUGUUUACGCAAGGCUUUGUCAGUGAACACAUGAUUCUAGCAGCAGUUAGUGUUGGAUGUCCAUCCAAUGGCCGACGUGCUUCUUCAAUCUCUGAUCUUCCUGCUCCAGCCGCCUAAACUAGCACCGGCGGGACUGCCUGCUCCCUCCUCUUGUGGCCCGCUGUGAUGCCACACAGGCUUCCCCUGCCCACCCUACUCCCUCCGCUGGCCUGGCCGCACGCAAUCAACUUCGUCCUUAUUACGCAAAAAAAUGAUUCCUCCCACUGACAUCUGGGGCGCACCGGUUGGGAGGCUGACCUGUGGGCCUACUAAGUUGACGCGUACGCAUGGCUUGUCAACUUAGUCAACAAACGAUUCUAGCAGUAGUAACCGUUGGAUUUGAAUCAAACGGUCCUGCUGCUUCCUCAAUCGCUGCUCUUCUUGUACCAGCCGCCCAAACCAGCGCCGGGGAGACCGCCUGCACCUGCCUCCAGUGGCCGGCUGUGCUGUCAAUGAGGCCUCAUCGCCCCAUACUACUCCCACCGCUAGCCAGGCCCUGCGGCGACGGCAGCCUCACACCGCAGCCGAACCAGUGAACCCUCAUACUCCUCUCCGCGUGGGCAUCCACUGCCGCGUCUUCCCCGGCUCCGCGUCGUCCCCUUCCUAGGCCUCGCCGUCGUCCAUCGCCUUGGUGCUCUCGGCGCAGCGUGGUCGACGUGGUCAAUGACAUUCCAUCGGAAGAGUACUGUACAUGGAGAGGCUGACAGCUGGGUCCAUGGCCACAACCCAGAUUUUUUGUGAUUUGCCAAGUAAGUCGCUUUGUCAUGCCUGUUGGGCUGCAAAUCUUUCAAGACGAGGAGAGCUUUCAUUCGGCUGGCCGAGAAAAUGGCCCAUCAGUAAUGAGAAAUGGAUUGUACAUUUUUAAAACACAUCAAACCGGCAAUUAGUUUCAAAUAUCUUUUUUUCAUUUCGAGAUUUGAAAUUACAUUAAUUUUUAUGUGUGGAGAAUUUGUUGGAUUUUAUAUUGAUAUACAUUUAUUUUUAAAAUCAGUUUGAAUGUGAGUCGAAAUUUCGGGAUUAAAAACAGUCUGGACCGCACCGAAAUAUGCAAAAUUUCGUAUAAUUUUUUAACCAUGGCCACAAUAUGGGCUGUAAUUCUAACAAAAAGAAUAUGGGCUCCAAAAAAACCUUAAUAAUUAGCAAAUUGGCUGUAAAUUAUUAGAAAUAAUGGCAGAUGGGCUGUAUGCUGUUUUCCACAGAUUUGAGGCUUUCCUAAAAAAAGGUUGACGCACAAGCAGUGACUGUUGGAUGGCCAUCCAACGACCGUCGUGCAUCUUCAGUCUCUGCUAUUCCUGCUCCAGCCGCUCAAACAAGCGCCGGUGGGACUGCUUGCUCCCUCCUCCCCGCGGCCGGCUCUGCUGCCGUGCAGGCCUCACCGCCCCACCGUACUCCCAUCGCUGGCCUAGCCAUCCCUCUACUCACCCACACCUGCCGUUAUUCUCCGGCGACGGCAGACGAACCAGUAAACCCUUGUACAGUCGUACUCCCCUCCGCAUGGGAAACAACUGCCGAGUCUUCCCUGCCUUCGUGUCGUUCCCUUCCUAGGCUUCGCCGUCGUCCACCACCCUGGUGCUCUCGGCGCGGCCUGGUCAAAGUGGUCAACGACCGACAUGCAUCUGAAGUGGACUUUACGUGGAGAGGCCGACAGCUGGGUCCACGGCCGCACGCAAGGAAAUGCCUCCUUAUUACGUGCAAAAUAAUGAUUCCUCCACCUGACAUCAGGGACCCACCGAAAGGGCCUCCGUAUUUCGCGAAAAAACGUUACCGCCGCUAACAGCUCGGACCCACCAACUAUAUCUUCGCACGCAAGGAAGUGCCUUCUUAUUACGCACAAAAAAAUGAAUACUCCCCUGUUAGCUGGGACACAAUAUAGUGGCAGGCUGACUUGUGGGCCUACUAAGUUGACGGGGACGGAGGGCUUUGUCAACUUAGUCAAUAUGGACGAUUCUAGCUCCAGUGACCGUACGAUGUCCAUCCAACGGCCAUAGUGCUUCUUCAACCUCUGGUCUUCUUGCUCCAGCCGCCCGAACCAGCGUCGGUUGUGCCUCGUGCUCCUGCCUCCCGUGGCCGGCUGCGAUGUGGUGGAGGCCUCACCGCCCCCUACUACUCCCACCACUAGCCAGGCCAUCCCUCUACUCACCCACACCACCUGUUAUUCUGCGGUGACGGCAACCUCACACCGCAGCGAACCAGUGAACCCUCAUACUCCUCUACACGUGGGCAUCCACUGCCGCGUCUUCCCCGGCUCCGCGUUGUACCCUUCCUAGGCCUCGCCGUCGUCCACCGCCCUGGUGCGCUCGGCGCGGUGUGGUCAACGUGGUCAAGGAACGGCUUCCAUCGGACGUGGACUGUACAUGGAGAGGCUGACAGCUGGGUCCACGGCCGCAGCAAGGAAGUGCCUCCUUAUUACGUGCAAAAUAAUUAUUCCUCCACCUGACAGCGGGGACCCACCGGACGGGCCACCGUAUUUCGCCCCUCUGAUUGCUGGGACCCACCAGCUACAUCUUCGCACGCAAGGAAGUGCCUGACAGUGGGAACCCACCUGGUUGAAGCGUACGUAGCGUUGUCAUUCUGGUCGCGAACGUGUACGUACAUAUAUACUGGUGGAUGUAGAGGUGUGCACGUGUUGUAGUAGAGGCGGCCAGGGUGCAAGAAAGAAAAUACAGCCACGUAUGUGUACAUACGGGCGAGGUCUCGAACGCCUACUCGCGCAUACGUACGGCCAGGGCUCGUGUACAUGGCUGGGUCAGAACGGAGAAACAACGUCGUCGUCGUGUUCAUGGGGAGGCAACGGAAUGCGUCGUGUUCAUGGGGAGGCAACGAAAUGCGUCGUGUUCAUCGGGAGGGCUUGGACGGAACAUGCGAUGGAAACGAGGCCUGGUGUACCGCAGAACGGAGGAAAGGACCUUGUGCUCGACCGACCACGUUCGAAACGGGAUCCUGUUCAUCGGGAGGGGUCUGGCGUACCACAAAACAGAGAAAACGGACCUCCUACGGUCGAAACGGGGGUCCUGUUGAUCGGGAGGGGUGUGGCGUACUGCAAAACAGACGAAACGGACUUGUGUUGGAGCGCUACGGUCGAAACGGGGGUCCUGUUCAUCGGGAGGGGUGUGGCGUACCGCAAAACGGGACUCCACGGGAUACUAUUCAUCUCCACCGUCGACCCCCUCCAGCCUCCAUGAGCUACUGUUCAUCCACCGUCGACCUCCUCCAGCCUCCACCUGCGACUGUUCAUCCACGGGCUCCUGUUCCCCCACCGCGCGCUACUCCACCGGCUAUUGUUCAACCAACCGUCUCCACGAGCUCCUGUUCAACCACCCCUCCACGGGCUACUGUUCAUCCUGCCCUCCACCGUCUUCUGUUCAUCCUGCCCUCCACGGGGUGGUCCUGUUCAUCCUGCCCUCCACGGGGUGGUCCUGUUCAUCCAGCCCUCCACGGGGUCCUGUUCAUCCAGCCCCAACCGGCUCGAUCGAUAGGGGUCCUGUUCAUCCAGAGGCAACACCACGGGGUCCUGUUCAUCCACCCCCCGCAACGCUUACUGUUCAUCCAGAGGCAGCAUCGAUCGACUUCAGUUAGCAGCAGUAGCGAUGGAAUCGCUCGAUCGGGUUUAGUUAACAGCCAUCGAUCGAUCGCUCGGGUUCAGUAACGCGUAGCCUGCAGUGCAAUCGCUCGGGUUCAUUUAGAGCCCAACGCCUCGCUCGGGUUCAGUUAGAGCCAAUGCCUCACACACACGCGCGUACGUGUACGAGAGAAGCGUGCAUCGCUCGGCCCCCGACCUCCCACAGUAACCGGGAACUCCCCGAAAUUUUCCUCUCCCUCGCUUCUACCAUGGUUUUUUCCGUCAUGGACGGCCCAAAAAUUGUCAUGCAACUGCGUCUCCAGCCCGCCCAGGACGAAAAGCCCAUUUUCUGUCAUGAUUUUUUGUCAUAGAAGUAGGAGCCCACCACAUCUAUGAUGAUACCGGGUUUUGUCACAAUUAUUGUCAUAGAAGUGUCAUAUGUAUGACAGAAAAAAAUUUCGUUCGGCCCAAAAUGUCACGGAUGUGUCUUUUAUUGUAGUGAUAACAACUAGAACCGGAUACUUAAUGAAACACACCCUUUCAAGUGCCAGAUACAACCAGGUGAUCGCUCUCUCAUAGGGCGACGAGGAGAGGAUCGUCGAGUAGGAUUAUGCUAUGCCAUGAUACUUGGUUAACUUACCAUCUACUCUCUUCUACUGCUUCAAGAUGGAGGCUGCCAGAAGCAUAGUCCUUGAUAGGACUAGCUAUCUCCCUCUUAUUCUAGCAUUCUGCAGUUUAGUCCACAUAUACUACCCCUUUCAUUGAUACCAAUGCAUAUGUAGUGUAGCUCCUUGCUUGUGGGUACUUUGGAUGAGUACUCACGGUUGCUUUGCUUCCCUCUUUCCCCCCUUUCCAUAUCUGGUUUUUGCGACCAGAUGUUGGAGCCCAGGAGCCAGAUGCCACCAUCGAUGACAACUCCUACUACACUAGAGGUGCCUACUACUACGUGUAGGCCGCCGCCGCCGACCAGGAGCAGUUUAGGAGGAUCCCAGGCAGGAGGCUUGCGCCUCUUUCGAUCUGUAUCCCAGUUUGUGCUAGCCAUCUUAUGGCAACUUGUUUAACUUAUGUCUGUACUUUGAUAUUGUUGCUUCCACUGACUCGUCCAUGAUCGAGCUCUUGUAUUCGAGCCCUUGAGGCCCCUGGCUUGUAGUAUGAUGCAUGUAUGACUUAUUUUAUUUUUUAGAGUUGUGUUGUGAUAUCUUCCCGUGAGUCCCUAAUCUUGAUCGUACACGGUUGCGUGUAUGAUUAGUGUACGAUUGAAUUGGGGGCGUCAGAAGUUGGUAUCAGAGCCGACUACCUAUAGGAAUCCCCCUCCACACUCCUUGGCCAAAGUCGAGUCUAGUCAUUAUAAAACAUUUACUAACAUGGCUGAGUGUAUUACGGGCCCACGUCGCCAUUUGGGUGGUAUUAGGAUCUUUUAUUCGUUGUCUAUACUCUGGGACUCUGAUUUCUCUUCUUUUCGGGUUUAAAUGGAAUUACUAACUCUAACAUUAGGUUCUCAUGAUCACAUCCACCCGGAAAACCCCUUGUUACAGAUGAUUGCCUGUUGUACCGAAGAAUUCCAAAGAUACUCUCUGUUGUUCUCUCGAGACUUUGUGCCCAUUCCUUUUGCCAUUCCCUACCAUACAAAUAUCCCUAUGGAUAAAUACCUACACUUGCCAUUCUUACUUUUAUUCCAAGUUAAUCUUGUUAUUACAAGAUACCCCGAAAUUCUCUCUAUUGUUCAGAAAAUACAUUGUGCCCACUGCCCUUGUAGUUCUUUGGAACUUGAAUACCCCUACGAAUAAUUUCUAGUAGUUAUCAAAUAUCCGCUCAUCCCCAGUGGAUACAUGUAUUUCACAAAAGUCUUUGAAAUACCAUUCGAUCUUCCAAAAAUCCUGAACAGCUUAUUGCUCUUGAAAUUCUUGCUUGCUUGCAAUAUAAUUAUCCCCAUAAGCAUGGUAAUCAUAUUGACAUCCUUUGUCAUUAUCAUUUUGAGUCCGUUGAUUCGAUAUGUUUGUGAAUGGUCACAAUCAUCAGUCAAAACUAAAAUUCAUCCUCCCGGCUCAGACGUCAUUUUGAACAUGACCUGGAUCUCGACCAAUCAAAUAGGCAUCAAUUGUAUCCCUGAGCCUACUCAACAUAUCCAUCCUUAAUCAGAGCAUUUUCUCCUGAUCCCUUGAUUUGUAAAUCACAAUUCCUUUGCUUUUGAGCUUUGAAUUAGUAGUUGUUUCUAUAAUCCAAUGCCUUUGCCUUGUUUCUUCCUCUGGUUGGGUACCAAUGCUUACGUCAGAUCCCUUGAGGGCCAUCAGAUCCUUUGCUAGAUUUUAUCCGACAACGUCCUUCAUAUUCAAUCACUUUGGAAGUUCUUCCUCUGAUAUAUAAUGUCAUUGGUAACUCCUAUUCUCUGAUUGGCCAACCAUGCUCUGCUUUUGAGCUGGAGAUAUUUACUCUUGAAACUUGUGGUAUAUGUUUCUAAGAAGCUCCUAUGGGUUGAACAUAUGCCUUCUCUAAACCGUGUGAACCCGAAAGUUUUCACGAGUCAUACUCUUCUCGUGCUUCGCUAGAUAAAAUUUCAACACUACAACUUCUUUGAAGUCGAGAAGUGAAUGAAAGGUCAUGCAUUAAAGAAGUGGGAGUUGACCUUGAACUUUGUGUUCAUGCCCAUGGACCCGAUGUGGAACUUAUCAUGGAAGCCUCUUGCAAAAUAUUUAAUCAUUUGGGUAAUUGUUUCUGUGUCAUUAAAUUGGAUCCCCUACAGGCAUGGUGCCAACCAUAUUGUUCUUCUUUGAUCCCAUUUCUCGGACAAGUUGAAGUACUUGUCUUCUGCAGGUCAAUACAUCUAUCCAACCUCUAUUCUGCUCUACCUUCGAGUAUACCCUCAGGUAUCUCAAGAAUAUCACGGAACUACAUAACUUCUUAUGAGUUCUUCGUCAACUAUUAUUCUCGCCAAUUCCAAUGCCCCCGGGUUAUGGGUUAAUAGUCACUCGAGAACACUGAUAAGUGAAUCGAUUCCUCACUCCGUUUCAAUAACGCUAAGUAAUUUUCGUUGCUUAUGAGUUUAAUAAUCCUUCAAGUCAUUCCUAGCCUGAUUGGUGAUAUGUCUCCAAUGUAUCUACUUUUCGAAACAAUUUUGCCCUUGUUUUGGACUCUAACUUACAUAAUUUGAAUGGAACUAACCCGGGCUGACGCUGUUUUCAGCAGAACUACCAUGGUGUUAUUUAUGUGCAGGAUCAAACGUUCUCGGAAUGACCUGAAACUUCACGGAGACACUUUUCAGAAAAUAUGAAAAAUACCUGCCAAAGAUGAAGGCCAAGGGGCCCACCAUCUUGCCACGAGGGUGGGGGCGCGCCCCCCUAUCUCGUGGGCCCCCUGUUGCGUCUCCGACUCCAACUCCACCUCCAUAUAUUGAGUUUCGAUGAGAGAAAAAUCAAGGAGAAGAAAUCAUCACAUUUUACGAUACGGAGCCGUUGCCAAGCCCUAAAACCUCUCGGGAGGGCUGAUCUGGAGUCCAUUCGAGGCUCCGGAGAGGGGAAUCCGUCGCCAUCGUCAUCAUCAACCAUCCUCCAUCACAAAUUUCAUGAUGCUCACCGCCAUGCGUGAGUAAUUCCAUCGUAGGCUUGCUGGACGGUGAUGGGUUGGAUGGGAUCUAUCAUGUAAUCGAGUUAGUUUUGUUAGGGUUUGAUCCCUAGUAUCCACUAUGUUCUGAGAUUGAUGUUGCUAUGACUUUGCUAUGCUUAAUGCUUGUCACUAGGGCCCGAGUGCCAUGAUUUCAGAUCUGAACCUAUUAUGUUUUCAUCAAUAUAUGAGUGUUCUUGAUCCUAUCUUGCAAGUCUAUAGUCACCUAUUAUGUGUUGUGAUCCAUUAACCCCGAAGUGACAAUAAUCGAGAUACUUACCGGUGAUGACCGUGGUUUGAGGAGUUCAUGUAUUCACUAUGUGUUAAUGCUUUGUUCCAGUUCUCUAUUAAAAGGAGGCCUUAAUAUCCCUUAGUUUCCGUAAGGACCCCGCUGCCACGAGAGGGUAGGACAAAAGAUGUUAUGCAAGUUCUUUUCCAUAAGCACGUAUGACUAUAUUCGGAAUACAUGCCUACAUUAUAUCAAUGAACUGGAGCUAGUUCUGUGUCACCCUAGGUUAUGACUGUUACAUGAUGAACCGCAUCCGGCAUAAUUCUCCAUCACUGAUCCAUUGCCUGCAAGCUUUCCAUAUAUUGCUCUUCGCUUAUUUACUUUCCUGUUGCUAUUGCUAUCAUCACUACAAAAUAACAAAAACAUUGCUUUUACUACUGUUACCUUUUGCUACCGUUAUCACCACUAUCAUAUUACUUUGCUACUAAACACUUUGCUGCAGAUAUUAAGUUUCCAGGUGUGGUUGAAUUGACAACUCAGCUGCUAAUACUUGAGAAUAUUCUUUGGCUCCCCUUGUGUCGAAUCAAUAAAUUUGGGUUGAAUACUCUACCCUCAAAAACUGUUGCGAUCCCCUAUACUUAUGGGUUAUCAAUUGGCUAUAUCAUUAUCGUGCUAAAUUUUAACUGUGCCACCUAUUCCUUAUUACCGGAGCACAUCUUUUGACAAUAAGCUAAGGUUACGUCGAUUUCCUUGUCUUAUCGUUUCACCUCGAACCACAAACUUGAUUCUGUGUUUGUGUCGUACCCAUGGUUCCAAUAACCCUUCACUUCAUCAUUACUUUCACCUGAUGUCAUCGCUGAUUGAUUACAUCUUCAUGAAAUCUCUCGACAAAUGUGUCGUGAUCAUCAUCAACCUUAUGAGCUCUUCCAAGAUAUCAAUCGAAUUUAGGAUGAGAAAUACCAUCCUUGCCCUCAAUGAUUUGUGUUAUCAUCAGCCACUUUAUUGCCUUCCCUCCAACACAAACUUGUUCGUGUUUUGUGCUAUCCCUUGAGUUCCUUGCUAUCCAACAUUUGUUCUUCUUUACCUUGGAAUAUUACCACCUUUUAUGUCAAGAAUGUCGUGGGAAUUUUACUACCUCUUGAGAAUUCUUGAUACAAGUGAUACUUCUCACCAUCACCAUUCCUUCUUGGUCCCCGUGUUGUUUCCAACCGAAAAACCGACAAUUGAACUUGGUUGUGCGAAUUGAAAACCUCUAGCGACCCUAUUGCUUUGAAGUUAAUGGUCGACAUUUCAUUCUUAGACCAUUGGUUAUCGAAUCACCAUUCUAAACAUUGAUCAUGCUACUUAGGCCCAUAUUUUGGGUACACCUUUUCAACCAAUGUUUAAUUGUGUAUGUUUUCCUUGAGCAUACAUCAUUAUAUCAUUUGAUCUGACUAAUGUUAUCUCCUUGUUCACAUGAUUGUGGAAAUCCAUCCUUCUGGAAAUUUCGAUGGAUUGUCACUGAGUCUAUCAGCCACCUCCUCAUCCUCUCCUUGGUUUAAUGAUGAACUCUUGUUUCGAAACUCGCUUCCAUAGUUCAUUUCCCAAGGAUCUUACAUUGUCAUCUCGUCAAUUUGUGUUGCACAUUUUCUUCUGAGGCAUCCCGAGUCUGUGGUAUACUGACACCAAUCAAAUCCGAAUCUCGGUCAGAUAUGAUGGUUGAAACAUGAUUCCAAGAGUUAUAGCGCUGGUCUUUUAUGACCCGGUAAGGUGAUGUCAUGCCUAGCACACCUGGCCGGAGGACCUAUUGUUAUAGUUUCCUUUUUAGCAAGGUUAGCCAUUCUUCCAUGAGGAAAUUGUAAGGCUUAGUCUAUAAGUCGUUCCUGAUGGAUCCUUGUGUAUGCAAAGUCCGACCUUUGCUUGAAGGCCAUGUCAGUGAUAUCUCGAAGCAUGUCUGUGGUACUCCGAUUUUCAACAAGAACAUUUGAAUCCAAAUGGUAAAUGUUUCUUGCUCAAUUAUCCAAACACCGCCGUAUGGUUAAUUGCAUGAAAUUUCUCUCCCCUUUCCUAAAGGGUUUUCUAUGUUAUAUCCCGUCAUGGAUAUCAUGCUCUGCUUGCCCUUGGGAAGAAUAUACCCUGCAAUAUGUGUUUAAACACAUUUUCCUUUCCAUUGUUCUGUUUAGUCUGAUGAUCACCUUUUUCUUUCCAUUGCUUUGUUUAAUCUUUCUUGUGAUCUAUAUGAUCUAAGCAGUACUAAUUGACUGCUUAUGUAAACACCUCGGUGUGCAAUUCUGUCAGCAAGACCCUGUUACUAUUGUUGAUGACAUUUCGGUCGCCACUGAUGGAUGAGAACUUUGCCUAUUGGUCCGCCUCGUUCAACGAGCAAGAAAAUGGUUCUUUUCGCCCCUCGCCCUUGGUACCAAUGUUGUUGCCGACAUAACUGACAGGCUAUCCUCUGACAUGCCUUGCUUACAUAAUCAUGCAACACGUUACCGCCCUUCCUACUUUUAACCCACAUGGUGGGACAAUAACCCACAGUUCCAAAGGAUCGAAACCUGACUCUCCUGUACACCCACGGUUUCCAAAGUUAUCCCUCACGUGUGGCCUCGUAUGUAAUUCACGGGCCACCGUCCUAGCGAUCUAUUCUGGUAACAGACGCAAUACUCAAUCUCGUUGCUCUGGACCCCUUUCGCACGUUGUUUCAGACAUCGAACCAUUGCCAAUCAAUUUGAAACUUCUCAUGGUACCUUCUUACUUUGCUCUCGAUAUCUUCUUAAGUUUCAAUUCAAGAGAUAAUUAUGCUUCUUCCCCUGAGUUAACCGGCCGAUGCUCAAUUUUCUUAGAAUCCGUCAUUAUGGAGUUUUUCCCCUCUUAUCCUUUCAUAAGUACGGUGAAGAUCCUAAAGGAAGGAUGACAACUUAAUCGAGAUGCAUUGAUGCAUAGGAAUGAAGACAUCAACGCUAUGAAUCGACCUCUUCGAGAAGAGAAACUAAGACCGAGAAAAUUUGUUAGAAUUUCGUAAUCAAAUCCCUUCCCCCUUAAUCCCCUCUUAAAUCUUGGGACGCGAUUUCUUGUAGUGGAGGAGAAUUGUGACGCCCGGGUAAUUAAGCUACAGUGAACCUCUACUAAUGAUGCCAUGUCACCUCAGUUACUGCCGAUAAACUCACAUUAGUUUAAAACCGAUUCAAAUUUGAAUUUGAAUUAAAGUCAAACAAUAAAAGUUUUCAAACAUUAAAGCUAAAAUAUUCAGGAUGUGACAAAUAAAUCGUAGGCACGUAUGGUGAAGAAACCACAUUUUACCAAAAUGCCUAAAUGCUCUAAAAUAAACAAAAC